UACCAGCACCCCGAGUGGUCGGGACGAUUAUUGGGCCUAAAGCAUCCGUAGCCGGUCCUACAAGUCUUCCGUUAAAUCCACCUGCUUAACAGAUGGGCUGCGGAAGAUACUAUAGGGCUAGGAGGCGGGAGAGGCAAGCGGUACUCAGUGGGCAGGGGUAAAAUCCUCUGAUCCAUUGAAGACCACCAGUGGCGAAGGCGGCUUGCCAGAACGCGCUCGACGGUGAGGGAUGAAAGCUGGGGGAGCAAACCGG
rnacentral:rRNA from 1 species